rnacentral:miRNA from 1 species
UGUCCGAGGGUCUGCAUCAGGGCU